UGCAAGUCGAGCGGGACCGACGGGAGCUUGCUCCCUUAGGUCAGCGGCGGACGGGUGAGUAACACGUGGGUAACCUGCCUGUAAGACUGGGAUAACUCCGGGAAACCGGGGCUAAUACCGGAUGCUUGAUUGAACCGCAUGGUUCAAUCAUAAAAGGUGGCUUUUAGCUACCACUUACAGAUGGACCCGCGGCGCAAUAGCUAGUUGGUGAGGUAACGGCUCACCAAGGCGACGAUGCGUAGCCGACCUGAGAGGGUGAUCGGCCACACUGGGACUGAGACACGGCCCAGACUCCUACGGGAGGCAGCAGUAGGGAAUCUUCCGCAAUGGACGAAAGUCUGACGGAGCAACGCCGCGUGAGUGAUGAAGGUUUUCGGAUCGUAAAACUCUGUUGUUAGGGAAGAACAAGUACCGUUCGAAUAGGGCGGUACCUUGACGGUACCUAACCAGAAAGCCACGGCUAACUACGUGCCAGCAGC
rnacentral:rRNA from 1 species